rnacentral:rRNA from 1 species
UACGUAGGGUGCGAGCUUUAAUCGGAAUUACUGGGCGUAAAGCGUGCGCAGGCGGUUUUGUAAGCCAGGUGUGAAAUCCCCGGGCUUAACCUGGGAAUGGCAUUUGGGACUGCAAGGCUGGAGUUUGGCAGAGGAGACUGGAAUUCCUGGUGUAGCAGUGAAAUGCGUAGAUAUCAGGAGGAACACCGAUGGCGAAGGCAGGUCUCUGGGCUGAAACUGACGCUCAUGCACGAAAGCGUGGGGAGCAAACAGG